rnacentral:rRNA from 1 species
GUAGGGUCCAAGCGUUAAUCGGAAUUACUGGGCGUAAAGCGUGCGCAGGCGGUUGUGCAAGACCGAUGUGAAAUCCCCGGGCUUAACCUGGGAAUUGCAUUGGUGACUGCACGGCUAGAGUGUGUCAGAGGGGGGUAGAAUUCCACGUGUAGCAGUGAAAUGCGUAGAGAUGUGGAGGAAUACCGAUGGCGAAGGCAGCCCCCUGGGAUAACACUGACGCUCAUGCACGAAAGCGUGGGGGGAGCAAACAGGAUUAGAUACCCUGGUAGUCCACGCCCUAAACGAUGUCAACUAGUUGUUGGGGAUUCAUUUCCUUAGUAACGUAGCUAACGCGUGAAGUUGACCGCCUGGGGAGUACGGUCGCAAGAUUAA